AUUGAACGCUGGCGGCAGGCCUAACACAUGCAAGUCGAGCGGAUGAAGGGAGCUUGCUCCUGGAUUCAGCGGCGGACGGGUGAGUAAUGCCUAGGAAUCUGCCUGGUAGGGGGGGAUAACGUCCGGAGACGGGCGCUAAUACCGCAUACGUCCUGAUGGAGAAAGUGGGGGAGCUUCGGACCUCACGCUAUCAGAUGAGCCUAGGUCGGAUUAGCUAGUUGGUGGGGUAAAGGCCUACCAAGGCGACGAUCCGUAACUGGUCUGAGAGGAUGAUCAGUCACACUGGAACUGGGACACGGUCCAGACUCCUACGGGAGGCAGCAGUGGGGAAUAUUGGACAAUGGGCGAAAGCCUGAUCCAGCCAUGCCGCGUGUGUGACGAAGGUCUUCGGAUUGUAAAGCACUUUAAGUUGGGAGGAAGGGCAGUAAGUUAAUACCUUGCUGUUUUGACGUUACCAACAGAAUAAGCACCGGCUAACUUCGUG
rnacentral:rRNA from 1 species